CCUACGGGAGGCAGCAGUGAGGAAUAUUGGUCAAUGGACGAGAGUCUGAACCAGCCAAGUAGCGUGAAGGAUGACUGCCCUAUGGGUUGUAAACUUCUUUUAUAUGGGAAUAAAAUGUUCCACGUGUGGGAUUUUGUAUGUACCAUAUGAAUAAGGAUCGGCUAACUCCGUGCCAGCAGCCGCGGUAAUAAGGAGGAUCCGAGCGUUACCCGGAUUUAUUUGGUUUAAAGGGAGCGUAGGUGGAUUGUUAAGUCAGUUGUGAAAGUUUGCGGCUCAACCGUAAAAUUGCAGUUGAAACUGGCAGUCUUGAGUACAGUAGAGGUGGGCGGAAUUCGUGGUGUAGCGGUGAAAUGCUUAGAUAUCACGAAGAACUCCGAUGGCGAAGGCAGCUCACUGGACUGCAACUGACACUGAGGCUCGAAAGUGUGGGUAUCAAACAGGAUUAGAUACCCGAGUAGUC
rnacentral:rRNA from 1 species